GUGAGGACAAGCCAGUCAAGUCAAUGCAAGAGAGAAAAUUCUCCUUCGAGAGAUAAUUUGUCUACAUUGGACACUGUGAGUGCUGCAAGCUUACAAGCACAAAAAAGGAGCAAAUUCAAGGGAAGAAAUAGGACCAACAAUAAUAACAAGUUUGUUGGUGUUAGGCAACGGCCUUCUGGGAGAUGGGUUGCCGAGAUCAAAGGCACAACACAAAAGAUAAGGAUGUGGCUUGGCACUUUUGAGACUGCUGAAGAAGCUGCAAGGGCUUAUGAUGAAGCUGCCUGCCUUCUUCGCGGAUCGAAUACUCGUACCAACUUCAUCACUCAUGUCUCCUUGGAUUCUCCUCUUGCUUCCAGGAUUCAAAAUCUCCUUAUAAAAGAAA
rnacentral:misc_RNA from 1 species